rnacentral:rRNA from 1 species
GAUGAACGCUGGCGGCGUGCUUAACACAUGCAAGUCGAACGAAGCAUUUAGGACAGAUUACUUCGGUUUGAAGUUCUUUAUGACUGAGUGGCGGACGGGUGAGUAACGCGUGGGUAACCUGCCUUGUACUGGGGGAUAGCAGCUGGAAACGGCUGGUAAUACCGCAUAAGCGCACAAUGUUGCAUGACAUGGUGUGAAAAACUCCGGUGGUAUAAGAUGGACCCGCGUCUGAUUAGCUAGUUGGUGAGAUAACAGCCCACCAAGGCGACGAUCAGUAGCCGACCUGAGAGGGUGACCGGCCACAUUGGGACUGAGACCCGGCCCAGACUCCUACGGGAGUCAGCAGUGGGGAAUAUUGCACAAUGGAGGAAACUCUGAUGCAGCGACGCCGCGUGAGUGAAGAAGUAAUUCGUUAUGUAAAGCUCUAUCAGCAGGGAAGAUAGUGACGGUACCUGACUAAGAAGCUCCGGCUAAAUACGUG